rnacentral:lncRNA from 1 species
CAAGGGUAUAAUAGCUGACUCAUAUCUGGUAGAACCAAAGCUGUGCGCAUAUAUGACCUUAUAUUUGGCCGUAUCUUUGGGUACACCAUGUUCCUUAUAAGCCAAAUGUCUUCCAUCCCUAAGUUUGAUUCUAGGUUCGGUAAAUGUUGGACCACCAGGAGAGCCACAGAUUUUAGGAGGUGGAGGUAGGAGGGCAGGGAAUGCCCAUGCCAGACCUGCAACCAACAAGACAACUAAAACUUUCCCAAGCAUACCUGAACACAAGAUAGACAUAACACUUACAAUAACAUAGCAACAUAUAGAUGGCAUAAUGUGAAGCUAUACAGUUUGAAUGGCAGGGCCGAAACUUAGGAAAUACUGAUUACUUAGUUGAAGCGAAGACAAAAUUUUGGAAAGAUUUUGCUUACAAGGAGAUUUCAGCUGUCAAAUGACAACGGAAACUAAUAAUAUUGGCAAGGUGAUGAUAUGAAGAAAUGAAUGUGGAAUACACAAAAAGGCAAACAAAUUAAAACAAAAUGUAACAACACGGAAGAAGUUAUUCUUUGCUUUUGGAAUGUUCACGUGAAUCAAGUUGUUCAACACGCAAGAACACAACCACCCUUUUCUAGUGUUAAGACUGAAAGUUUGCAUCCCAGAACUUUGUAUGAAAACUCUUGCUGAUCUAAAUGCCAAUGUUCCCGAAUUUAUGAAUUCACCCAUUGAAAGAGAAAACAUUUUAGAAAGAUUUUGCUUACAAGUAAAUUUGAGCUUUUAUAUGACAAUAACGAAAAUAAAGAAUGGUGGCAAGGUGAUGAUAUCAAGAAAUGAAUGUGGAAUACACAAUUGGAAGGCAAACAAAUCAAACAAGAUGAAUAGAGGAAGGUAUUCUUUCAAAAUUUUCAACCAAAUCAAGUUAUGACAAUCACAGAAGUCUUUUAUCACAACCCUUGCCAGCCAAAUUCGCUGAACUUAUGAAAUCAUCCACUUGUUUCUUAAAACCAUGUUUCCCUCAAUGUGACAAGAUAAAAUUGAAGGAAGAGAUUGUCUAGUAUGACUUAGUCUAGGAUUAUUCUUUCUCUUCGGAGAGAGAUGUCAUUUAGCAAGAAAUUACGACGUCUUUCUUUCAUCCGCUCUGUCCAGAGCCUAUGACAAUUGGUCUGGGCACUUGACAAUUUGCACCUACUUCACUAUGAGCUAAAUAAAGUAGACACGAAGCAACAGUUUGCAUAAGCAAGCAUAAAAUUGCACAAUGAACUAUUUCCUUUCUUCUGUACACCUGUUCUUUUCUUGUUAAUUUUUCUCAAUUCUCCUCUUUAUUCCUUUGUUUGUCAAUUUUCUCUUGGCUAACAGUCGGGGUGGGAGCUACAAGCCUAUCUACAGUUCAACAGAAUUCAGAAACUUUGUCUCAGAUCCUGUAUUUUUAUUUAAAAAUUCACUUAAUAUACAUAGAUAUUUUAUCAAGAACCCUAAAAGCCAUCUUUUGCUAGAUCUACAACCUAUAAAUUCAAAAUUCUAACUAUGUCUCUGCUAAGAGUCAUUUCAUUCUCACAGCUAUGCAACAGCUUGGCUACAUUACCACUCUAAUCCCCCUUCUUCUCACAUUUCCAAUAUUAACAUUUUAAUGAAUCAAUGAAUAAUCGACUGAGCCUCAAUCCUAAACUAGUUGACCUCAGUCUUAGAAGCCAAACUUUUAGCCUCUAGGAUUUGGACUCCGAUUUUCUUUCAUAAGCUAAGAUUUGCAUAAAUCUUCUAUAAUCAUUCCCUCAACAACAACCACAACAUAUCCACUAUAAUUUCACAACUGGGGUCUGGAAAGGAUGGAGUGCACGCAACCUAACCCUUACUUUUGAAGGUAGAGAGAUUGUUACCGAUAGACCCUCGGCCAAGUAAGCAUGUCACAAAUCAAAUCUGUAAAGAAAAUACAGUAGUGAAGAAGCCAUUUUGAAAACAAUUAAAUCAGAGCACGUAGCAACACAAAUAAUAUGAUAGUUGAAGCAAAGGAAACAACAAAUACUCAUAAGUGAACUAGACAACACUCGACUACCUACUAACAUUCUACCUCAAUCCUCGACCUUCUUUCUAUCUUGGAUCAUUUCCUCGGUGUGUUGCAGGUGAGUUAUGUCUUGUAAUCACCUGUACCCAAGACUUUUUCGGCGUACUUCUACCUCUCCUAAUACCCACUGUAGCUGAUCCUUCACACCUCCUCAUUGGAACAUCUGUACAUCUUUUCUUCAUAUGUCCAAACCAUCUCAGACUCGCCUCCGACAUCUUGUCCACCAUGGAGGCCACUCCCACCUCCCGAAUAGCUUCAUUCCUGAUACCGUCUCUCCUAAUAUGCUCACACGUACAUCUCAAUAUCCUCAUUUCUGCUACUUUCAUUUUCUGAGAGUGCGAGUUCUUGACCGGCCAACACUACACCUCACACUACAUACUUGAUCUGACCAUCACUCCAUAACCAUUCCCUCAAUUUAGUAAAUGAAAGAACUUAUAAAUUUCACUAUUCCUAUGCUCAAAGUCAACCUACUGUGAUCCUCUCUCCACUUUAUGGAACCUUUAACAUAAACCUCUUCCUCUUCAUAAUUUUUUUAAAGAACCGUGGUGUCCCAGUAGCUUGCACUGUUGCACCUAAUUUCAACAAGUACCAGUUAUUUGACAAAAAGUCCACAAAGGUGUACUCUUCUAUUUCAAAAUUCAUUCAUUCUAUGGAUAUUUUUGAAACAUCGUAAAGUCUUUCCAUAUUUCUUAAACUCCGUAUCUAGUCUAACUACAUCACAUAAAUCGAGGCCGAGGUUGUAGUACUUUUACCUCCUCUAGAUUUGAUCCUGAAACCUCAGAAUCCCAACCCAAUUCACUAACCACUAGGCCACUCCCUUGGAUGCCUUCCUCUUCACAAUCUUCUCAAACAAUAUAGCAAUAUAAACAAAAUGGAACCUUGAUUUUACUUUAAGAUAAAACAAUAUACAGAUUACAACUCAAAUAAGAAAAUAACAAAAAGCAUAAACAAGUAGGGUGUCUUGAAAUUGUACAGUAACAUACCUUGAUUUGAAUUGGAAUGAAAAAAUAUUGAAUCUUGAAGAUGAUUCAAUUGCUUUGUUGGAACAAUAUUGAAAGAUUGGGUUCUAGUGAGUGAUAAUACAAUUGGUUUGAACUUGUUAGUCCUGUAUAAAGAUUUUGCAAAGGUCAAUAAUGUUGGGUGAAUUUUUCUUUGAAUAAUUGGUGACACAGAGAGACCAAAUUUUGUAGGAAAAGUAGUAAUUGCCAUUUCAUUAUAUGUAUGGUCCACCAGUUGCACUUACUCUAGUACAUCAUAACCUAAUGCUUACAGGUCAAAUUGCUAAAUUUAUAAAUUAAAUUAAAUUAAUAAGAGUCAAUACACUCUUAUUUUUUACUUUUUGAGAUAAUGGUCAAAAAUAUGUUGAUAGUAUCACAUUUUGCGAGUUUUAUACCUGAACUAUCAAGUGUUUGUGCUUUUUAUCUAAUAUUAUCAAAACACACCCCAAAUCGACUAGAUCAGGUGUUUGAAUACAAUCGUUAAAUGACGUGUGACAACUUAAUUUACCCAUAAAAGUUCGUCCACAAGAGAACUAACUCAUUAAUUUCGAUGCAUAUUGUGAUAAUAGUUGAUUUUAGUUCAAAAAACAGGAACACCUAACAGGUCAGGUAGAAAACUCGUAAAAAAAAAGUGACAUGUCAAGUUUAUUUUUGACUAUUAUCUCUUAAUUUUUAAAAAUUUAAAAUUUUUAAAUUAAUUUCUUUAAUUAUCCGUGUGGAAUGCCAUUUGGCACCAUUUUUAAAUAAAAAGAGUAUACACCACGCACAUCAAGUACUAAUCGGGACAUGUUUUGAUAAAUAAUUGAUGAUAAUUCAAGUGAAAAGCACCAACACCUGAUAUUUCAAGUAUGAUGCUCGCAAAAACAUAACACUUCAGUACGACUUUGCCAUCAUCCUUUUUUCUUUCAUUUAUACAGGAGUGUCUUUGAGAUGUUAAAUGAGAUCUUGAGAACUAGUUCACAACAAUAACAUAUUGAUCCCACAAAUGGGUCUGGGAAGAAUUUAAGUGGGGUUUAUAGAGAAUUAAGUAUAUAUAGAAUUUACCCCUACUUUUUGGAGUAUAGAGAUUGUUUCCGAUAAUAUUUUAGGGUUGGAUGCAUAAACAAAUAUAAAAAAUUUCAAAUUAAAUGCCAAGACAAAAGAAGUGAUGAUUUUGAUAUGUCAUGGAAGUUCUUUUUUGGCGCAAUACAUGAAUAUGUACUUUUAACUUAACCUCAAAUUACAUCUAUAAGCUCCAAUUAUGGGUGUGAUAAGCAAAUACUUAAACUUGUAUAAAAUUGAACAAGGAGACAUAUAUGUCCUACGUAGCAUCCUACAUUGUCAAUUCUUGUCCUACAUGGCGUCCUACGUGUAUUAUGCCACAUGGGACAUGUGUGUCUACUUGUUCAACUUGAUACAAGUUUAAGUGCCUACUUGUGCACACCCAAAAUUGGAGGUCAUAAAUGUGAUUUGAAGCCAAGUUAAAGCUUGCACACGCUAGUGUCGAAAAACCUUUUUCUCAUUUUUAAGGAACUUAUUUCCGACCAACCGAACAUUCUAAAUCAUUCACAUUAUGUAAUUGCAACUUGAAUUCCAACAAAUAUUCAAUAAUUUGUGCAAAACAAGGUAUUAAUUAGGGGGGUCAAAGAAUAGAGCUUUGUUCAAAGUUAAUAAUUAAACAGAAAAGUGAAUUUCACUUGGCCUUCCAAUAGGUGAAUUUAUCCUAAUGCAUAAUGUAGCACACUUCAGAUACCAGCCCUUCUCCAAUUUUAAAAUCAAAGUUGGAAAUUAAACACUUCAGAAAGAAUCACAUUCUCAUAUUUAAGUCCAACGCAAAUAUAUUCUAUUUUAAUUAAUAUUUGUGCAUUAGGAUUAUGCCAAUAUCAAUACUGAAUCUGUCUUAAUUACAAAAGGAACCUCUAAAUCUCUUUGUUCCCCUUUAAGAAUGCACUCUCUGUUCUUUCUUUCCUGUCAAAAAUGUCCUCCAGACAACCUCCUUCAUGGCUGGAUCAUGCAUAACUAGAUGUCCAACAUUGGGUAGUUCAUGGUAGUGUAUCCAUGGAAGCCUUUCUGCAACGUAGCGCUGUAAUAUAACAGGUACAACCCAGUCUUGGUCACCAUGCCACAAGUGGACCGAGGCUUCACCGUUUGGGAAAGGGUUCUUAAGAUCCAUAGGAUCAAAAUCCCAUUUCCCAAACCCCACCAUCAUGUCACGGUGGAGGGACUCGAAUACUCCUUGUUUUACAGCAUAUUCCUACAAAUGAAGGAAGCAGGAACAUUUGAGUCAGCAAUGCCUCAUCAAAUGAGCAUCAACAUAUGAACAUAAUUCUAAGUAAUCAGUUACAUUCCGACACUUUUAACUUCCUCGCCUGUAUUGUUCCUCUCCCUAAUAACAACGUGCUUCUCACUUCCCCAUGAAAAAGUUCUUGCCAAAAUGUUACUUAAUAACGCACAGUUCAUAGGCAACAAGAUACCCAGUGACCAGUGUAGUCCGACAAAGUGGAUUCUACAGAGGGUAGAGUGUACGCGACCUUUACCCCUACCUCAGGGGUAGAGAGUUAGUUUCCAAUAGACCCUCGGCUCAAGGAAAAAAGUCCAAAGUAGUCCCGAAAAGAAGUAACGGAAGUUCAAGAAACAACAGAGAUAUUAAAAAAACAGAAACUACAACACUACAGGAACAAUACUAUGACUACUAAUAUGAAGUGACAGCAAGAUAACACACUACAAGUGGUCAUAGGCAAACAAACAUAAAAAAAAUUAUAACUUGUAUGGUUCUUUCACCCCAAUAGUGGUCAUUCUAACCUUUCACCAAAAACAGAAGAAACAUUUAAUUCGAGCAGGAAUAAAACUCCACUCUAUUAUGAGCUGGAACAAAAUUCCAAGCCAUUACAACUUAUCCAGAAAAUUUAUUACUAGGAUCAAACACAUGCAAGGGAACAUGAAGUGACAGUAAUCUAACAGUAAAUUGUCCAAAUUCAGGUAGGAAACCAAUUACCUCAAGUUUUUGUCUUUCACUUGCAUGCUCAGCAAAUGCGGAAGCAACUUCCAAAUCUGGGGGAGAUAAUUUGGCUUUUCCAGCUAUAACACUAUUGUACGGGAACCACUUCUGAGUGUUCCACCAGUAGACUAGCCAAGGCGCAUAAUGUGCAACUCGAAGUGCCCAUUGGUCCUGUGGGAGCUGUACAUUGUAUCCUUCUUUGGAUAAAUUAGCAGGAAAACCAGGCCACCAGUAAUUGACUACGGGAGCAACUAAAGCUGCUCCAGCUAACCUAUUAGCACCAAAAGAAGAUACCACAAAUAAUCAAAAGCAGAGCAUACAGGAAUACUUUAAGUCUUGCUGCUGUUGUUGAGAGUAAUGAGGAUCAAAAGAAAGCAGCAUAUACAUCGGUCAGAGGGACACUGAUUUUAUCAAGUUAUGUAAUACUAAGGACAUGACCUUAUAUAGGAGAUAUGGAGGUCGAGGAUUAAGGCAGAAGGUUAGUAAGUAGUCGACUAUUGUCUAGUUCCCCUACCAGUAUUGUUAUUAUUACUCUCUUAGUGUCUUAUUCUUCGAUUGUAGUGUAACCUAUUGUUUCCUUUGCUUCUAUUAACGUACAUUUUUCUGUUGCUACUUUUUCUUUUUUAAUUGUUUUUAGCAUGCCUUCUUCGUUACUGUAUUUGUUCUACUUGUUUUCUGAUUCUGCUUUAACUGGGCUGAGGGUCUAUCCGAGACAACCUCUUUACUGUCAUAGGGUAGUGUUAAGGUUGCAUACGCACUGCCCUCCCUAGACCCCAACUGUGCGAUUACACUGGGUAUGUUGAUGUUGUUAAGUUUAUUGGGUACAAACAUACGUACCGAUCAGGGAUGUACUUAAGGCAACCCCAAACAGAAUGACCACCCAUCGAAAACCCCAUAACAUAAAAUUUAGGGCCAAGCCCGAGUUGAUCAGCAAGCUCUUCCAUAUCCAAAGCUGUAGUUUGUAUGGUUAGUUUUGGAUGUGGAUCGCUUUCCCCAUAACCAGGUCUAUCAAAAGAGACAACAUACACCCCUAAUUCUUCAAGUGUUUCCUGAAAGAAACACCAAUAAACCGUUAUAAUCUCAGUUCGAUUAAUACUCGAAAAGGAUGCAGAAAUACAAGUUUGACAAAGAGUUGAUGAAAUACCAAGGGUAUAAUAGCUGACUCAUAUCUGGUAGAACCAAAGCUGUGCGCAUAUAUGACCUUAUAUUUGGCCGUAUCUUUGGGUACACCAUGCUCCUUAUAAGCCAAAUGUCUUCCAUCCCUAAGUUUGAUUCUAGGUCCGGUAAAUGUUGGACCACCAGGAGAGCCACAGAUUUUAGGAGGUGGAGGUAGGAGGGCAGGGAAUGCCCAUGCCAGACCUGCAACCAACAAGACAACUAAAACUUUCCCAAGCAUACCUGAACACAAGAU